UCCGUAGGUGAACCUGCGGAGGGAUCAUUACAGAGUUGCAAAACUCCCAACCCUUUGUGAACAAACCUGACAGUUGCUUCGGCGGUAGACCCUUCUGGGGCUAGCCUUCGCGGGUAGUCCGCCGAAGUCCUAUAAACUCUUGAUUAUUUUGGUAUCUCUGAGUAGCUUAUAAAUAAGUUAAAACUUUCAACAACGGAUCUCUUGGUUCUGGCAUCGAUGAAGAACGCAGCGAAAUGCGAUAAGUAAUGUGAAUUGCAGAAUUCAGUGAAUCAUCGAAUCUUUGAACGCACAUUGCGCCCGCUAGUAUUCUGGCGGGCAUGCCUGUUCGAGCGUCAUUUCAACCAUCAAGCCCUAGGCUUGUGUUGGGGCCCUGCGGCCGUCCGCAGCCCCCUAAAAAUAGUGGCGGGCUCGCUAUACACCGAGUGCAGUAGUUUACUCUUCGCUCAGGACGUGUAGCGGGUUCUGGCCGUGAAACCCCCAAAUUUAAAGGUUGACCUCGGAUCAGGUAGGAAUACCCGCUGAACUUAAGCAUAUCAAUAAGCGGAGGAA
rnacentral:rRNA from 2 species